rnacentral:rRNA from 1 species
UACGUAGGGUGCGAGCGUUGUCCGGAAUUACUGGGCGUAAAGAGCUCGUAGGUGGUUUGUCGCGUUGUCCGUGAAAACUCACAACUCAAUUGUGGGCGUGCGGGCGAUACGGGCAGACUGGAGUACUGCAGGGGAGACUGGAAUUCUGGUGUAGCGGUGAAAUGCGCAGAUAUCAGGAGGAACACCGGUGGCGAAGGCGGGUCUCUGGGCCGAUACUGACGCUGAGGAGCGAAAGCGUGGGGGAGCGAACAGG